rnacentral:lncRNA from 1 species
GUAUCCACAAGAAAAGCCCAGGCCCAUUGGCUUCACAGCUAAAUUUUACCAAACAUUUAAAGGAUACAAGUUAUUCACAAACUCUUUCAAAAAAUUAAAGAUGAAAGAAUACUUCCCAACUCAGUCUACAAGGUUAGUGUUAUCUUGAUACCAAAACAAGACAAAGACAUCAAAAGAAAACUAUGGAUCAAUGUCUCAUAAAAAUUGAUACAAAAAUGUUCAACAAAAUUCUAGCCAUGUGAAUCCAACAAAUCCAACAACAUGGAAAAAGGAUUAUACACAAUGAAAUAGUGGAAUAUAUCUCAGGAAUGCAAGGUUGGUAUAAUAUCUGGAAAUCAAUUAAUGUUAAUACACCGUAUCAACAGAAUAAAAUACAAAAGCCACAUUAGCAUCUCAAUAGACUCAGAAAAAGCAUUUUACAAACUCCAACACUGUUUCAUAAUAAAUAUACUCAACCAACUAGGAAUAGAAGGUAAUCUUCUCAACCUCAUAAAGGGCAUCUACAAAAAACCCACAGCUAACAUUUCAUGGUGAAAGACUAGAGGUUUUUCUACCUUUAGGUAUAAGUCUUCAUGACCUUGGAUUUGGCAAUAAAUUCUUAGACAUGAAAGCAAAAAUAUGAACAAUUAAGAAAAAUAGAUAAAUUGGACAUUAUCAAAAUCAAAAACUUUUGUGCUUAAAGAGCAAUAUCA